rnacentral:rRNA from 1 species
AUUGAACGCUGGCGGCAUGCUUUACACAUGCAAGUCGAACGGUAACAGGCCGCAAGGUGCUGACGAGUGGCGAACGGGUGAGUAAUGCAUCGGAACGUGCCCAGUCGUGGGGGAUAACGCAGCGAAAGCUGCGCUAAUACCGCAUACGAUCUAUGGAUGAAAGCGGGGGACCGAAAGGCCUCGCGCGAUUGGAGCGGCCGAUGUCAGAUUAGGUAGUUGGUGGGGUAAAGGCCCACCAAGCCAACGAUCUGUAGCUGGUCUGAGAGGACGACCAGCCACACUGGGACUGAGACACGGCCUAGACUCCUACGGGAGGCAGCAGUGGGGAAUUUUGGACAAUGGGCGCAAGCCUGAUCCAGCAAUGCCGCGUGCAGGAAGAAGGCCUUCGUGUUGUAAACUGCUUUUGUACGGAACGAAACGGUCCGGGUUAAUACCCUGGGCUAAUGACGGUACCGUAAGAAUAAGCACCGGCUAACUACGUGCCAGCAGCCGCCGUAACAC